rnacentral:lncRNA from 1 species
AUUUUUUAUUUAUAUCUACAAAUAAAUAAUUAUCUUACAGUAGAUUCAAAAUCAACUCAUUUUGAUGGAGAUAAUUCAGUUUCAGCAUUGUUAUCUUUAAAUAAAAAAAUGGGGGGCGCAAGUUUGAUCCUUGCCACAGGUGCUGCAUACCGUAGUUACGGCCCUGACAGAUUGGUUACAGAGGUUAAAAUUCAUUGCUUGAAGAUCGCUAUUACUUCCACCAAACAUAGAUUUUAUAGCUUGAGAUAUCAGUUAAAUAAGGUGGAGAAGGAGUUAAACAACUUGGAUUGUCAAAGGAGAAAGGUAAUUCUAGCA